UUCAUCCUUGAUAUGAUUAGUUGUGAUGUGAUGCAUUUCAUGUUAUCAUAUGUUUUAAAUGCUUUACUAUUCUGCUCACUGGGCUCUAGUAGCUCACCCCUCUCCCAAAUUCCCCAGGUUUGCAGGUACAGGGUAGACCAGGAGGUCAGCAAGAGUAUUGAAGUCAGUUGUAUGUAAUAGAUAGAAUGUGGACAUGAUAAAAUGUAAAG
rnacentral:lncRNA from 1 species